CCUACGGGAGGCAGCAGUGAGGAAUAUUGGUCAAUGCACGAGAGUCUGAACCAGCCAAGUAGCGUGAAGGAUGACUGCCCUAUGGGUUGUAAACUUCUUUUAUAUGGGAAUAAAAUGUUCCACGUGUGGGAUUUUGUAUGUACCAUAUGAAUAAGGAUCGGCUAACUCCGUGCCAGCAGCCGCGGUAAUACGGAGGAUCCGAGCGUUAUCCGGAUUUAUUGGGUUUAAAGGGAGCGUAGGUGGAUUGUUAAGUCAGUUGUGAAAGUUUGCGGCUCAACCGUAAAAUUGCAGUUGAAACUGGCAGUCUUGAGUACAGGAGAGGUGGGCGGAAUUCGUGGUGUAGCGGUGAAAUGCUUAGAUAUCACGAAGAACUCCGAGUGCGAAGGCAGUUCACUGGACUGCAACUGACACUGAGGCUCGAAAGUGUGGGUAUCAAACAGGAUUAGAUACCCGUGUAGUC
rnacentral:rRNA from 1 species